rnacentral:misc_RNA from 1 species
GAUGAAGAACGUAGCGAAAUGCGAUAAGUAAUGCGAAUUGCAGAAUUCAGUGAGUCAUCGAAUCUUUGAACGCACAUUGCGCCCGCCAGUAUUCUGGCGGGCAUGCCUGUUCGAGCGUCAUUACAACCCUCAGGCCCCCGGGCCUGGCGUUGGGGAUCGGCGGAAGCCCCCUGCGGGCACAACGCCGUCCCCCAAAUACAGUGGCGGUCCCGCCGCAGCUUCCAUUGCGUAGUAGCUAACACCUCGCAACUGGAGAGCGGCGCGGCCACGCCGUAAAACACCCAACUUCUGAAUGUUGACCUCGAAUCAGGUAGGAAUACCCGCUGAACUUAAGCAUAUCAAUAAGCGGAGGA